UAGGGAAUAUUGGGCAAUGGAGGGAACUCUGACCCAGCCAUGCCGCGUGCAGGAUGAAGGCGUUAUGCGUUGUAAACUGCUUUUUAUAUAGGAAGAAAUAGUCCUUGCGAGGAAAGUUGACGGUACUAUAUGAAUAAGCACCGGCUAACUCCGCGCCAGCAGCCGCGGUAAUACGGAGGGUGCAAGCGUUGUCCGGAUUUAUUGGGUUUAAAGGGUGCGUAGGCGGUUUAUUAAGUCAGUGGUGAAAGACGGUCGCUCAACGAUUGCAGUGCCAUUGAUACUGGUAGACUUGAGUAUGAUUGAGGUAGCUGGAAUGGAUAGUGUAGCGGUGAAAUGCAUAGAUAUUAUCCAGAACACCAAUUGCGUAGGCAAGUUACUAAGUCAUAACUGACGCUGAGGCACGAAAGUGUGGGUAUCAAACAGGAUUAGAUACCCAGGUAGUCCCUGAGCGGGCUGGCAAGGCGCAU
rnacentral:rRNA from 1 species